UACGGAGGGUGCGAGCGUUGUCCGGAAUCAUUGGGCGUAAAGGGCGCGUAGGUGGCCCGGUCAGCGUGCGGUGAAAGCUCGGGGCUCAACCCCGAGUCGGCCGUGCGAACUGCUGGGCUUGAGCACUGUAGAGGCAGGCGGAAUUCCGGGUGUAGCGGUGGAAUGCGUAGAGAUCCGGAAGAACACCGGUGGCGAAGGCGGCCUGCUGGGCAGUGGCUGACACUGAGGCGCGACAGCGUGGGGAGCAGACAGG
rnacentral:rRNA from 1 species